UACGUAGGGUGCAAGCGUUGUCCGGAAUUAUUGGGCGUAAAGAGCUCGUAGGCGGUUUGUCGCGUCUGCUGUGAAAACGCGAGGCUCAACCUCGCGCCUGCAGUGGGUACGGGCAGACUAGAGUGCGGUAGGGGAGAUUGGAAUUCCUGGUGUAGCGGUGGAAUGCGCAGAUAUCAGGAGGAACACCGAUGGCGAAGGCAGCACUCUGGCCGAAUACUGACGCUGAGGCGCGAAAGCGUGGGGAGCGAACGGG
rnacentral:rRNA from 1 species